rnacentral:rRNA from 1 species
GACGAACGCUGGCGGCGUGCUUAACACAUGCAAGUCGAACGGAAAGGCCCUGCUUUUGUGGGGUGCUCGAGUGGCGAACGGGUGAGUAACGCGUGAGUAACCUGCCCUUGACUUUGGGAUAACUUCAGGAAACUGGGGCUAAUACCGGAUAGGAGCUCCUGCUGCAUGGUGGGGGUUGGAAAGUUUCGGCGGUUGGGGAUGGACUCGCGGCUUAUCAGCUUGUUGGUGGGGUAGUGGCUUACCAAGGCUUUGACGGGUAGCCGGCCUGAGAGGGUGACCGGCCACAUUGGGACUGAGAUACGGCCCAGACUCCUACGGGAGGCAGCAGUGGGGAAUAUUGCACAAUGGGCGGAAGCCUGAUGCAGCAACGCCGCGUGCGGGAUGACGGCCUUCGGGUUGUAAACCGCUUUCGCCUGUGACGAAGCGUGAGUGACGGUAAUGGGUAAAGAAGCACCGGCUAACUACGUGCCAGCAGCCGCGGUGAUACGUAGGGUGCGAGCGUUGUCCGGAUUUAUUGGGCGUAAAGGGCUCGUAGGUGGUUGAUCGCGUCGGAAGUGUAAUCUUGGGGCUUAACCCUGAGCGUGCUUUCGAUACGGGUUGACUUGAGGAAGGUAGGGGAGAAUGGAAUUCCUGGUGGAGCGGUGGAAUGCGCAGAUAUCAGGAGGAACACCAGUGGCGAAGGCGGUUCUCUGGGCCUUUCCCGACGCUGAGGAGCGAAAGCGUGGGGAGCGAACAGGCUUAGAUACCCUGGUAGUCCACGCUGUAAACGGUGGGUACUAGGUGUGGGGUCCAUUCCACGGGUUCCGUGCCGUAGCUAACGCUUUAAGUACCCCGCCUGGGGAGUACGGCCGCAAGGCUAAAACUCAAAGGAAUUGACGGGGCCCCGCACAAGCGGCGGAGCAUGCGGAUUAAUUCGAUGCAACGCGUAGAACCUUACCUGGGUUUGACAUGGAUCGGGAGUGCUCAGAGAUGGGUGUGCCUCUUUUGGGGUCGGUUCACAGGUGGUGCAUGGCUGUCGUCAGCUCGUGUCGUGAGAUGUUGGGUUAAGUCCCGCAACGAGCGCAACCCUUGUUCACUGUUGCCAGCACGUUAUGGUGGGGACUCAGUGGAGACCGCCGGGGCCAACUCGGAGGAAGGUGGGGAUGACGUCAAGUCAUCAUGCCCCUUAUGUCCAGGGCUUCACGCAUGCUACAAUGGCUGGUACAGAGAGUGGCGAGCCUGUGAGGGUGAGCGAAUCUCGGAAAGCCGGUCUCAGUUCGGAUUGGGGUCUGCAACUCGACCUCAUGAAGUCGGAGUCGCUAGUAAUCGCAGAUCAGCAACGCUGCGGUGAAUACGUUCCCGGG